rnacentral:misc_RNA from 1 species
AUUGCGUAAAUCUUUGGCGAACCUGACAUUUCAAUGUUGGAAGAUGAGGGAUGUGUGUUGGAAAGGAUUCGUAAACCAUGAUUAGUAUUAUUUUGGUUCGAAGUAAUGUUUCGUGAUAAUAAGUAAAAUAAAAUGUGAGAAAAGAUUUAGAAAUUGCUUUAGAUUGUUAGAGUAAAUGUAUAUUUAAUGUUGCUGAGAUGGUUGCAAAUAUUCAGUUUCGCCGGAUGUUAGACUGUUGUAAAAUGAAUGAAACUAUCAAAUAAAGAGGGAGAGCUAUGGCAGAGACUGUGCGAGAAUGGCUGCAAGAUUGUGCAAGUCAGGAACCUGACCAGCUUCAUAGUUUUGCCGUUUCACUGGAACAUAACCACAGUCUCAUUGCAGCAUUGCAUUCCGUCUUGGAGGAACGAGGCCGGUUCGCAGAUGUAUCUUGUGGAUCCAGUCUGCUCACAACUGUUUGAACUGUACCGCUCAAAGCAGCCAGACCUGCAACGUUUCACAUUGCAGUUUCUUCCAACAUUAAUUUUUGUUUAUUUGAACUCUGUAGCACAUGGUGACAAGAAGAGUUGUCGCAGUGUUGAGACAUUAUUACUUGGUUUGUACAAUCUUGAAGUGGUGGAUGAGAGUGGUCAGCCAAAAAUCAUCUCCUUUCGCCUGCCUUCAUUAGCACAAGGAUCCAUUUACCAUGAGCCUAUGUCCCUUGCACCACUGACUGAGAGUGCCCUACGUCGAUGGGAGGAAUGCAAUACCAAACCUGUUCAGUGGGGUCCUAUGCCUCAGGUGGAAACACUUAAUGCCCAAAACAGACUAAAGGUGAUGACAGCAUUAUUAUUUCUCUACAACCAACAGCUGAGUCUUGCAAGCAAAUCUGCCCUUGAAUAUCUCAGCAAGGUCUGCUCUAAGAUAGUGACUCAAGGCUUCAGCAAACCAGGUCACCACCAGAGAUCAUCAUAUGGUUCAGAUAGUUCCAGCUUGGUUCCACGCUUGUUGCCACGUAUUCCUGUCUCAUCACAAUUUCUUCUUGAGCUGCUUCAUGGUGCCUAUUUCUCAUUAUUUAACGGAGCAGCAGCUGCAGCACAAGCAGCUCUUGAUGAUCUCCAUACCCGUGCCUGUUUUGAAGGGUAUCCAGAGGUUGUGUUAGCUACUAAUGCUGUACGGAACUCUUUGCAAGUCAACACCUCUGGUCAACCUACAGAUGGACCAAUGGGUAUCAGUGUUGCUCUUACACCAGCAACGACAACAGUUACGACUGUCAGCAAAUCAAUGAUUACGAAUGCUUCUUUCCGUACGAAGAAGCUUCCUGACGACAUUCCAAUCCAAACUUCAAAAGAGGACGGCAGUGUGAGUGGAACUCCAGAGUCGAAGAACUUGAGUGCAAUAACAGAGGAGGGAGAGGGUGAUGGAGAACGACUCACUCCACGUGCCAGUUCCCUGCGAACAAGGGACAAGAAACUCCCCAGCUUUCCUGGGCUAAAGAAGACAGCUCGUAGCAAUGGUGUUGCAGCUUCAGAUAAGAAACCAAAGCGCUCUGUCACUGCUGAGACAAACGGUCCUCUGCAGCCUCCUUCAGACAGCCCAGAUUCUGGUGCAGGCAGCAGUGAGGGCACUACAGGAGGUGAUGGUAUGGUUACAGAUGCAGGAAGUGGUAGUGUAAGUGGAAAUGGAUCUGUUGAGGUGGAGCAUCUUUCAGCAACUCAAGUCAGUACUGUCUGAGAGGGAACAACCUUACUGCCCGUACAGAGGAUGCAAGCACACUACUCCUCUCACUUUUCCUACCACUUUUUUUUUAAAGAUUUUCAGAUUACUUAUUUGGCUGUGAAUGUUAUGUAUAGUCUCUGUUUUAUUAAUUCUGCUAUUACAUUUUUUGAUAAGGAAAAACAAUGCAUGUAGAAUAAGGAUCAUACAAAAAGUUGAGGUGUAGCAGAAAUAUUGUACAGGUGCUUUUUGUGUGUAGUGAACUGCAGCAUUGAAGAGUGUCACUGUCUGUAGCUUCGUUGUAUACAUAUUUGUUUUAGAGAUAGGACAUAAAUAUCAGAAUUUUCGUAACUGCAAAUAGUAAAAGAAAAGAUGAAGUAUCAUUUAGUCCCGAAAGGAUUUCAGAAAUUUAAUCGACUUACAUGAAUCAUUGUGUAUUAAUUAAUUAGUUGCUAUCUGCUGUUACUAUGCAUUUUUACAUUUACCGUUUGAAAUUUUGGAAACAGUCAAUAAUGCAGAGGUUGAUGUAAAUUCAUAUUUCCUCCUAUAUAGAAGUGUCUCGUUCCAAGCCAUGAGUUAUCUCAUAUGCUCAAAUGUGGUCAUCUCAGAAUAUCUUAAUUUAGCAUUUUCUGUAGUGGGCUCUAAUUUCAGUUGUCUAAAUAUUAUCCAUGAUGGGUGAAAGCUGAUAUUAAUGUACAUUGUGGAAUAUAGUAGCAGAAUAUUUUAGUACAUAAGUUUUCCAGUAGCUUGUUACUGGAACACCAUUGUAUUACAUGUAUAUAAUUAUUCUGGAAUAACACUAAAACUAAGUACUUCAAAGACAGAUAAAAUUGUUGAUAUCUACUCUUUUUGUAUGGCAUUUUUAAAUACUCAGAUUGUUGGAUAUGAAUCAAACAAGUGUUAAGCUCUACAUUGUAAUUUAUAUUGUACUACAAAUCUUCUAUAUUUUUCCUUGUUUCCAUGGACUCUAGGUAUUUAACCAUGUAGAAAAGAGCUGCAGUAUAUUUUGACAACAUCUGUGGCAUUAGAGAGACAAUAAUUUGAAGGGACUGAUGGCUCUUAUACAUAUAUGUUCAAGGAUUUCCAAAGAUAUUGACAACUGAAACAAUUUCAUGGUGUUGUUUAUUGUGAUUUUAGAAGUACAUUAUACUAGUGUAGGGUGUAAAGGUGAACCAUAUUUUUCUCAAUGAAAGUGUGUAUUUAUUUUAAUGACUUAAUCUACAAUUGUUUGAACAUUGUGCUGAUUGUUUUCUUGUAUCCGUUUAUAUUGUAAUGUAGAGGAACAAUGCCAACAUACUAAAUGUUCAUAAAAUAUAAGGUAAGUAAUAUUUUGUAAUAUUACUGCUUCAGGAAAACUCAUUUUAGGAUGAUGCUGUUAAAAUUAACAACACAGAAACAUCAGUUUUUUUAUGCGAAACUAACUAGGACAGCGUUUUCAACUUAACCCUCUUGAAUUAUUUUCAGUAUCUGUGAGCAUAGUUUACAAGUUGUUAUUUAUCAUAAAACUACUGUUAUCUAAUUCUUUCCACACACUUGCAAAAGAUGUUUUUGCUACCAGAUUGGAUCAUUUUUCCACAAGGAAGGAUUAAAUUAUAUUUCAUGUAUGUUUUGACAUACAUUUCAGUAAUGGUGCAUAAAGAGGCAUUUAUACCAGCUUUGAAAAGUGGACUUGUUUUGCUGUUUUCACCAUUUAAAUUUAUAGAAUAAAUCUGAUCAGAAUAUUUUGGAGUUCAUAAUGUAGUGUUUUGAGAACAUGAGUGGCAUUAGAGCAUUGAAUUGCUGAAAGUGUUACAUUGAUAUUCUUGUUAGACUAGUCAACGACUUACCUUUUGCCUUCUAAACACUUCGUACCUGAUGUUUAUCUAACUGUUACAGUUGCAAUUGUAAUUAGGCCAGGCCCAAUGUAUCUUACAAAUGUGCAGUUAUAUCUGCAAUGUUGUUAAUAUAUCUGGCUAUGUUUUGUGUUGUUAAGGAUGAUAUAGAUAUUCAGCUUACUGUUUGGAAAUUGAUGUAUAAAGGGUCUAUGGCAUAUAAAUAUAUAGAUUUUUUCUCAUUUA